GUUUGAUCCUGGCUCAGAUUGAACGCUGGCGGCAUGCCUUACACAUGCAAGUCGAACGGUAACAGGUCUUCGGAUGCUGACGAGUGGCGAACGGGUGAGUAAAACAUCGGAACGUGCCCGAUCGUGGGGGAUAACGCAGCGAAAGCUGUGCUAAUACCGCAUACGAUCUACGGAUGAAAGCCGGGGGAUCUUCGGACCUCGCGCGGACGGAGCGGCCGAUGGCAGAUUAGGUAGUUGGUGAGGUAAAGGCUCACCAAGCCGACGAUCUGUAGCUGGUCUGAGAGGACGACCAGCCACACUGGGACUGAGACACGGCCCAGACUCCUACGGGAGGCAGCAGUGGGGAAUUUUGGACAAUGGGCGCAAGCCUGAUCCAGCCAUGCCGCGUGCAGGAUGAAGGCCUUCGGGUUGUAAACUGCUUUUGUACGGAACGAAAAGGUCUCUCCUAAUACGGGGGGCUCAUGACGGUACCGUAAGAAUAAGCACCGGCUAACUACGUG
rnacentral:rRNA from 1 species